rnacentral:snoRNA from 1 species
AUACUGUGAUUAGGAUACUUCUUGAUCAAGUCCUUAUACCUUUCUCAUGCUUCAUGUAAGCUCUCUAAAUCGUCCUACUGAAUGUGGAGAUCUCGUGUCUUAGUUU